CCUACGGGGGGCUGCAGUGAGGAAUAUUGGACAAUGGAUGGAAAUCUGAUCCAGUCAUGCCGCGUGCAGGAAGACUGCCUUAUGGGUUGUAAACUGCUUUUAUACGGGAGCAAUAAGGGUUACGUGUAGCCUGAUGAGAGUACUGUAUGAAUAAGGAUCGGCUAACUCCGUGCCAGCAGCCGCGGUAAUACGGAGGAUCCGAGCGUUAUCCGGAAUUAUUGGGUUUAAAGGGUGCGUAGGCGGCUAUUUAAGUCAGCGGUGAAAUUUUGCAGCUUAACUGUAACAGUGCCGUUGAAACUGUUUAGCUAGGAUUUGGUUGCAGUGUGCGGAAUGUGUGGUGUAGCGGUGAAAUGCUUAGAUAUCACACAGAACACCAAUUGCGAAGGCAGCACACUAAGUCAAUAUUGACGCUGAGGCACGAAAGUGUGGGGAUCAAACAGGAUUAGAUACCCCGGUAGUC
rnacentral:rRNA from 1 species